GCAGUAGCCGCGGUAAUACGGAGGAUCCAAGCGUUAUCCGGAAUCAUUGGGUUUAAAGGGUCCGUAGGCGGUCUUGUAAGUCAGUGGUGAAAGCCCAUCGCUCAACGGUGGAACGGCCAUUGAUACUGCAGGACUUGAAUUAUUGGGAAGUAACUAGAAUAUGUAGUGUAGCGGUGAAAUGCUUAGAGAUUACAUGGAAUACCAAUUGCGAAGGCAGGUUACUACCAAUUGAUUGACGCUGAUGGACGAAAGCGUGGGUAGCGAACAGGAUUAGAUACCCGCGUAGUCCCUGUCUCUUAUAC
rnacentral:rRNA from 1 species